GGCCUCCAUCUUGAAAACGGAAAAUAAAAACAGCAGACCUAUGAAGGUCGAAGGGGAAGAAAAGCUGUAUCGAUUGUUGAGAUCUGGCGACUUGUUUAAAUUUCAUCAGCCUCACUUCUAUGAACUCUCAGAGCUGAUUACCAACUCCUACCACUGUUAACCCUCAUCCAGGAACAAGCUUAUGUCUUUAACAUUCUGAGUGGGCUUCAGCAUCCUUGCAUAUGUUCAAUUCUUAAAAACCUGUUGAAAUAAAAGAUCAGGAGACAUAGGAAGGAUGCCAGAAGAGAGCGUGGCCUCACGUGUACCAGCUCUCUGCUCUCCUUUGCCUUGGGACGUUCCAUCCCUGGAAGUUUCCCUGCCCACAUCUUUGUAGAGAGUCCAUUCUCCAAGCUUCAGUGUGUCAUCUGUGAGGACCGUGACCCACCUGGUACAUCGCCUCAGGGCAUUCAUUUCAGGCUCCUUCUAAAUGGCCAAGUUUUCAAGAUUGUUUUGGCUCUAGCAAAACAAGUUGGAACAUUCACAUCAUCCAAGACAACACCAACAUUUUUGUAAUGGCCUGCAAGGCCUUCCGAGAUCUACCUCCUGCAACUCAGCUUCUCCUGUGCUCUCCUUCUGGACUCACUCUGCCUCAGCAACACUGGUCCCUGUUGCCCCACCAAUAUGCCAGCUGCACUGAUGAGGAAACUGAAACAGAAAAUCCAGAGUAAAUUCCACCAGGCCACACAGCAAGGUCUGAUAGAGCCAGGAGAGACUUUAUGAAAUCCAGACUCUCACACUAAUGCUCUAUCAGCUAGACCUCCAUGUGAGUCUCCCCAAUGUAGGUAGGAAGUGCUUUCCCUAAAAUGCUCAUAAAGCAAAUCAGAGCAAUGCUGCAUUCCAUGUGAUUUCUAAUUUGAAAUGCAAACAAUUGCCAAUUUGUUUGACUUGUAUUUAUAAUUAUUUCCUUGUGAAUUACUCAUCACUAAAUGCUUUAUAAAUAUUUUCUCUUUUUUUCCUCAAUGUCUAUGGAAUGAUCACAGCAUAGAAAAUGUUGGCUUUCAAGGAUUUAUUAAUAUCUCCUUUUGAAAUAACAUGUAUUUGUAAGACAGAAUAAAAUCACUUUAAAGAAACAAA
rnacentral:lncRNA from 1 species